UUCUCCACUCCGCGAUCAGCAUUUGGCUUUUUCCAUUUGAGGCAGAUUACUGUAACGCUAUUGUACAACAACUUCCUGCCUCUUUUGGCUCUGGUUCUAAAAAACUGCAAAAGGCAGACCUCGUGGCUUUAACUUUUUUCCCCCCUCGGCCUUGAACCAGGAGCUCUAUAAGGGAAGAAAAGGAGGAAGGAGAUAUGUAAAGUGUAUUUAUUACUGAGGAGCUUUUUUUUUUUUCUCUUUUUUAAAAAUAAAUUUCAUUUCUGCUUUAUAAACUGCUGAGAAUUAAAGAGGGGACUUCAUUCCUAGCAAGAGACAAUGAGAAAGAGAGAAAGAGGGAGACAGAGAGGAAAAACAUAAGGACCUUUGAGGGCACUCCCCAUCGAGGAGGGAACAAAGGCCAUGACCCCUGGGUCAAAAGCGUUACAUGGGAGGCCAAGCGAGCUCAUUGAAUGCUCCACUGUUGUUUGCUUUAAGAAGGAUUCUGAAAGGAGAGGAGGAAGAGAGAAACAGAGAGAAAAGAGCAAAGGAGAGCUUCUCCUGGGAACAAGCUGGAAAUUAUGGACCUAUUCGAUAUCAGACCUCAGAGUGGACAACCUAUCCUAAGAGGGACGCGCCCUAACUGUAACUAACAACUACUUCUGGCAGCCCUUCAACAACCAGACAUAUUGUCCUGGAUCAGGGCCGUUUUCGAAAAGGCAGCAAUGAGCAAGGGCAGCCUAGGCAAGAAAUCAACAUCGACCUUCAGCCUCAUUAAUAUCAAUUAAUACUUUUUUUCUCUAAUAAAAAUACAGAAUUUUAAACUAUGAUCCCAAUGAGACAUUAAUUAUCAAAUGUAGCAUGUUAAGGUGAUACAUGCUAUAAAAAAGAAGGAUUUCCACACUAAAGUGGGGCAGCAUUAAGGGGUCAACACAGCACUUUAAAAAAAAUUUUUUUUUAAAAAUAUAUAAUGCGUGAGUUAAUUAUUUCACCUACUGUUUUAGUACUGAUAUAUUAAAAGCUCAAAAUCCAACACAAAUGCAAUGUUGCAUUACUUUGUACUGUGUAGGUCUGAAGAUCUGCAUUUAAAGUGUGAAUGCAACAAAACUGCCUUAUGGUGGAAACGAGCACAAGCAGGGUUUGAAUGAGUGUAACAAUGUAAUAAAUAUUCAAUUAAAAAAU